CGGUAAUUUAUUGCUGAUUGUCCAUACGCAGUUCUCAAGGUCUAGAAUCGACGAAUUGCCGUUUAAGAAUUGCGAAUGGUCAUCAACAAUAAUUGCUG
rnacentral:pre_miRNA from 1 species